rnacentral:tRNA from 1 species
GAGAGAGACUCGCUAGUAGCGAAGACUGCUAAUCCUCGUAACCUUGGUUGGACCCCAAGGCUCACUCGUAUACU